CCCUAUGGGGCGCACCAGGCCUUCGGGCGUGAAGACGGGCAGGGCCGCCUCGUCGGCGGACUACCAGACGCGCCGCGCGUACAGGCUGCCGUCGGAGUUCAUGUUGGAAUCGACCAACGCGUAAUGCCCCGUGCCGGCGGGCAUGUCGGCGAGACUGCCGGUCGUGUUAUUGUCCACGUCGACGAAGAUCGAGUUGGCGUUCGCAUUGAAAACGACGUCCGUCCCCAGGUCCGUCGUGACGGGGAAGCCCGUGUCCGUCUUUUCCUUGACCGCGCCCAGGGUCCGGGCGAACUGGAUGUCUGGAAGGCUCUUCGGCACGGCCUUGUGCCGGAGCUGGAGGUUGAUGAUGACCUUGCCGCUCUCGACGAUGAUGGACAGCGGGAGGGC
rnacentral:rRNA from 1 species